ACCCCUUUGUAGUUCAUAAGCAUGAUGAUCGGGUGUUCAAGCCCAUGUAUGAGGCGCGCCUCCCUCAAACCUUGUUACAAUGUCGGUACAGCACCAUCUGACG